ensembl:lncRNA
GCCGUGACAUCAAAGGCUAGCUAGCAUCACUCGACUGGCUAGCUCCACGUUUUGUUUGCGUCUUUCUACAGAGAGAGAAAAAAAUAUAACGAAUUUAACUCAGACUUUCUGCCGAAGAUGAUGAGCACAAACGUGAGAACGUUUCUUCCUCGUCGCCAGUUUUGUUGUAUAGCACACUGUAUUACUUAUACAACUAAUAUAAGGACAGGACAUGAGACCAGAGUAGAAAUUAAAGUGGACAUUGUUUAAUGCGUUUUACAGGAAGAACAUUCCAAGCAUUUCAACGUAGGUCCCUCCCUGCUCUCCCUCGACUCCCAUAAACACCUGUGUCCCCCCAUCCCACUCACGUGCUCCUUCACCUACUCCUCACCCAAUCUUGGCAGCAAGGUGGGGUCCUGACUGGGUCCUUCAUUCCCUUACUAUGAUGAAUUCAAGCAGUUUGGGAUCCAAUUCGGGAAAGUCGCAUUCCUAGUCGUAAUGCUAGUGAGUUACCGCCACUGGUAUCCAAAAGUUAUUUCCGGCUGCAAAGUUGCGUCGGAGCUAGAAGCAGAUCUGCCAUAUCUGUCGGCGCCAUCUUCAUAAAUAUAGGAGCUGGGUCGAAUCAAGGUGCCGAAGACAGGCUCCUUCAUGACCAGUAUCUGUGACGAGACGAGCCUGGAGCUGAUCUACACUGCAAUGCCCAACAGGCGUUGGCAAACACCUCCGAAGUGACAAAAGAUGGAGGAAAGAAGAGCUGCAAUUGUCAUGGAGUCCUCUUACUGAAAGACUGGUUGAUACUGAUGUAUGAAUUGGGAGAGAGCUUUCACUCAGCAUUAAAAUUAAAGAAGAC